UGCUGUUUUGACCUUUAACCUUACUGCUAUUCGAUACUUUACUAGCCUAGAAUUUCGCUGUAAAGUAGAGGAUCCUGAAGGAAAUACCAUUUAUUCUGAAGUUGUUUACCGCACUUUUAUUGAUUCAUUCGGCGACAGUAUCACUGGAUAUCGGUUAUCUUCAAUUGGUAUUCCCAGUGAAGGUUUACUGCAGGUCAAUAUCCCUGGGUUUUGUUACUGGGGCCAAGUGCGGUACUUUUCUUUUUAUAAUUGGCGUGAUCCACUCGAUGAUAUGAUAUGUCAACAAUUUGGAUAUACGAAUGACUCCGUUAUCCAACCAAAGUCUAACUCUCCAUAUCCCGAUGCGUGUAUGUAUAUCAGGGGUUGUUCAACUAGCAAUAUGACAACGAUCGGCGACAUAGCAAAGCAAUGUGAUGUUGUCUACGGACCA